UACGUAGGGGGCAAGCGUUGUCCGGAAUCAUUGGGCGUAAAGAGCGUGUAGGCGGCCCGGUAAGUCCGCUGUGAAAGUCCAGGGCUCAACCCUGGGAUGCCGGUGGAUACUGUCGGGCUCGAGUCCGGAAGAGGAGUGUGGAAUUCUCGGUGUAGCGGUGAAAUGCGUAGAUAUCGAGAGGAACACCUGCGGCGAAGGCGGGUUGCUGGGCUGACACUGACGCUGAUGCGCGAAAGCCAGGGGAGCGAACGGG
rnacentral:rRNA from 1 species